rnacentral:lncRNA from 10 species
CAUCCUGUCCUGGAGGGAGUUCCUCCUAGGUCUGAUAAGACCUUUUAUGGUAAUUAAGAUUUAGAUCCCCUGUUACGAAACCUGCUGGGUUAAGGGAAUUUUCAGUGGUUAAUGUUAAAUCAUUUUUCUUUCUUUCUUUCUCUCUUUGACUUUGUCUCUCUCUCACUUUCCUUUUGCCUCUGUCUCUUUCUCUUUCUCUCUGCCUCUCUCUCUCUCUCUCUCUCUCUCUCCUUGACUCCCUCUUUGUCUGUCUCUUCCUCUCUGUCUCUUUCCUUUCUCUCUCUCUGCUGGUCUUUCCUUGCCUCUGCCAGCCGCUUAUUCUGCUGUUCUCUCAACCACGGUGUGUUGGGGGCGGGGGGUCUAAAACCAGCUGUAACCAAGUGUCUAUGAACGGGAGCUGGUCUGGGUGCCCUGGCUUACCGGUUACCUUCUGCCAUACCUUUGAAACAGGAGACGUGUCCAGGCUUCCUUCUAAUGGCCAACCUACCUCUAAUGCUGGCCAGUCUUACACAAAGUUUUAAGUGUUCCUGGUGUCAUAGUACUCCAUAGUCUCCUUUAAAUCCUUUUUUUGAAAUUUUUCAACAUAGUUCCUAGUGGGGUGGGCUUACUUUGUACCUCACCCAUGUUUCCUCGAGACAAAACAUCAUGCUCACACCACACGUGCACCACAAAACAAAGAAUGGGUAAAAAGGGCACACACGCACUUUUGUAGUUUACACCAAACCAAAAUCAAAACCAAAAUCAGAGUAUCCGGAAAUCCAAGCCAGGUCAAAACCAAAACCAAAGUAUCAAGCAAUCCAAGUCAAGUCAAAAACAAAAACCAAAGGCCGGUACAGGCACACCGUGGGUGAUCAGGCCACGCUUCCACUCAAAUGGAGUGGGCAAGUUCCCAAGACCGGUCCUGUCAAGUAAUUCAAACCAAGUCAAAACCAAAACCAAAGUGCCGAUAAAGGCAUGUCGUGGGUGAUCAGGCCAUGCUUCCACUCAAAUGGAGUGGGCAAGUUUCAAAGACUAGUCUUACCAAGUUUUAGAUGUCCAGACUCCAAGUGCCUGCUCCUUCAUGGUGUUCAGCCACUGUGUUGAUCCUCCACGGUAGCCUGCCACACACUGCUCUGGCGAGGCGUCCAACCGGGGCAAAUGCGUACCCGGGAGCGCUCUCAGGAUCUGCGUCUCUCAGGCUGGUCGGAGUCCCCAGCAGGCAUGUUCCACAGGGCAGGCUUAAGCCGCCUAAGGAGCUGCCUCAACCAUCCACCAAUCACCUCACUUCCCAGUCAGGGAACCAAGAAAUGUAGCAGGACGAGCCACAGACAAAACUCCUCAGACACCCAGUUAAAGAAGGAAGGGGUUUAUUUGGCUGGGGGCAUCGGCAAGACUCCUGUCUCAAGAGCCAAGCUCCCUGAGUGAGCAAUUCCUGUCCCUUUUAAAGGCUCACAACUCUAAGGGGGUGCGCGUGAGAGGGUCGUCAUCGAUUGAGCAAGCAGGAGGUACAUGAUUGGGGGCUGCGCGUGAGAGGGUGGUCAUCGAUUGAGCAAGCAGGAGGAUACGUCAUGGAACAGAGGGCAACCUGCCUCCUGGAAAUGUGGAGUGUCUAGGGAGUCACAGCUGAGAUCUUCCUUGGAUUAAAGGCUGCGGGUGUCACAAACAGAUUCAACUGGGUGAAAUAACUGUGAACUGGGCAUGUGAAGAGAAAGCUGAAAGCCAUGAUCUCAAGAUGGAAACUUCAGUAUCCAGCAAAGGAUGCUGUAACAACACCAUAAACUUUCAAACAACUCUAUUUCCUACGGUUCUGGAGGCUGGAAGUCCACAAUCAAAGUGUCAUGUUGUCAGGUUGUGGUGAGGGCCCUCUUUUGGGUGUAGAUUGCUAACUUUUCUGUAUGUGUUCACAUGGCAGAAAGAGAUUGAGCUAGCUCUUGGAUCCUUUCUUAUAAGGGCACCAAUCCCAAUACAGAGGCUUCACUCUCAUGACAUAAUUGUCUCCCAAAGACUCUACCUCCAAAUAUUAUCAAUCACAUUAGGGGAUAGAUUUUAACACAUGAUUUUGGGGGGAACACAUUCAGUCCAUAACAUUUCUUGAGUCUUCUUCUAGGACCCAUAGGUUAUUUUAAAAGUGGCUUGUUCAGUUCCAAGUGUUUGAAGAUUUUUUUUUUCUGUUAUCUUUAACUUACUGAUUUCUAGAUAGACCCCAUUGUGCUCAGAGAACACUCCUUAUGUGAUUUCAAUUAUUUUAAAUUUGUUGAGAUUUUAUGACUUAGUAUGUCAUCUGUCUUGGUGUGUAUUCUGUGGGGGGGAUGGGGGGUGCUUGAAAAACGGGUAUUCUGCUAUUAUAGAAUGUCAAAAUAUCAACUGUAAUAAACAAGAAAAAUAAUCCUAGUCUUUUAUUUAAGGGCCCUCUUUAGUCCAUCUCAACAGACCCUUCUCCGAAGGGGAAAGAAAUGCAGCUCACAAGAGCCCAUUAAACAACUAAAACAAGACAAAAUAAAACAACUACCCCCUGCCAAUUUGCACACUGUUACUUCUUUUGUUUUCCCAAUCUUAUUUCUUCUUCUUUUUUAUAAUAAAAAAUUUCAAAGCAAUUAUCUGCUUUCUUACUUCCCCUUGACUUUGCCUAUGUUUAGUUUUACUUUCUAUGAUUGGCCAUCAACAAUUAGGCACAAACCAUUCUGAACUUCCUCUUCACACUUACUCAAGUGGGAAAGCUGCUGUUUACAAAGUUGCAAACUAGAAAGUGCUAAAUUGAUGUUGUACAUUUGCAAGCAUUCACGUUGAAAAAAAGAUGCAAAAGAAGACAGGUGAGACAUCUUGGGAAGUGAUGUGAG